UGGGGAAUAUUGCACAAUGGGCGCAAGCCUGAUGCAGCAACGCCGCGUGAGCGAGGAAGGCUUUCGGGUCGUAAAGCUCUGUCCUUGGGGAAGAAGGAAGUGACGGUACCCAAGGAGGAAGCCCCGGCUAACUACGUGCCAGCAGCCGCGGUAAUACGUAGGGGGCAAGCGUUAUCCGGAAUUAUUGGGCGUAAAGAGUACGUAGGUGGUUUUGUAAGCGCGGGGUGAAAGGCAGUGGCUUAACCAUUGUUAGCCUUGCGAACUGCAAGACUUGAGUGCAGGAGAGGGAAGCGGAAUUCCUAGUGUAGCGGUGAAAUGCGUAGAUAUUAGGAGGAACACCAGUGGCGAAGGCGGCUUUCUGGACUGUAACUGACACUGAGGUACGAAAGCGUGGGGAUCGAACAGGAUUAGAUACCC
rnacentral:rRNA from 1 species